GGGUGCACGUGGGAGGUGGUUCUGGCCAGUGCGGCCUCACGCGGAUUCUCCUAGGGGACCCACCAGGAAGAUUCCACUUGCUGAGGAAAGGAGAGAGACCCGCGGCAGGAACCCCGCCCUGUUUGCUUUUAAUGCUCUCGGAGGAAGCUGUGAUGCCUACCGCUGCAGCAGCCAUCCUGUGACCACGAGGGACAAGACUGAAGGAAGGAGAGACCCUAGGUGCUUGAUGACACCCUUGAACCACUAGCCAACUCUGGGACCACCACGGCGCCACACUGCUGUUGUAAGAGUUUUUACCAGGCUGAAUGCAGUUCAUAGAUACAAUUCUAAGAAUACUCUCCCUCUCACCCGCCCUGGAGUUCUUUCUUUGCACAAGUUCUGCUGUGAGGCACUGGAAACAAUCACUGGCCUCAAGGAAAACAAAUACCGGUGCAUUAGCAGGGAGCUGGAUCUGAAGCGGAGCAGCUGGGACUAGAACUGGUGCCCAUUCGGGAUGCGGACCUCGGCUUUAACCUCCUGAGCCACAGCGUCGGACCCACGUGUGGUCUUUCGAGGCAAAUUCAUGGAUAAGCCAAAGCAACGCUGGCUGUGAACCAACACCCUUCCCCUGCCCCCAUCACACGCGACCUGGUCCACAACACAGAAACACAUGGAAGCAGAGCAGUCUGCCCGAAGUGCAGCACGGUGCUCCCACCGCAUGCCACGGCCGCCCAGGGCACCUGUGCCAUGCACCCACCACCUAACUCUAUCUUUGCUGUCUCCUCCCACUGAGUGACUGGUGAGCCCUGCUAUGGUGUGGACAGGAAAACUCAUACCAAUGUUUAAACCCCAAAGUCUAGGUGAACAGGCCAUGGAUUAAUGCCAAUGGUUGAUGGGUUUAGGGUGGGUACUUGAUCUAAUGAUGGCACCUGAGGGGGCCUGGCGGGCAGCAUUUAGGUCAUGGGGGCAUUUAGGUUUAGGAAGGGGGCUCUCCCGAGGGGCUGGUUAUUUAAGCUGAGUGUGGCCCAGCUUCUCUCUGCUUCCUGGCUCACCGUGUGGUUGCUAUCCUGCACCUGCUCUUCCAUGGCCAGUGGCACCACACGCCAUCUAACAGGGCCAUUGGUCCUGAACUGUGAACCUCCAAAAUGUAAGCCGGAAUAAACCUUGUCCAUCUCAAGAGGCUCCUCCUCAGCCUUUUCAGUUAACAUUAAGGAGAA